AGAGUUUGAUCAUGGCUCAGGACGAACGCUGGCGGCGCGCCUAACACAUGCAAGUCGAACGAGCGAGAGAGAGCUUGCUUUCUCGAGCGAGUGGCGAACGGGUGAGUAACGCGUGAGGAACCUGCCUCAAAGAGGGGGACAACAGUUGGAAACGACUGCUAAUACCGCAUAAGCCCACGGUGCCGCAUGGCACAGGGGGAAAAGGAGCAAUCCGCUUUGAGAUGGCCUCGCGUCCGAUUAGCUAGUUGGUGAGGUAAUGGCCCACCAAGGCGACGAUCGGUAGCCGGACUGAGAGGUUGAACGGCCACAUUGGGACUGAGACACGGCCCAGACUCCUACGGGAGGCAGCAGUGGGGAAUAUUGCACAAUGGGGGAAACCCUGAUGCAGCGACGCCGCGUGGAGGAAGAAGGUCUUCGGAUUGUAAACUCCUGUUGUUGAGGAAGAUAAUGACGGUACUCAACAAGGAAGUGACGGCUAACUACGUGCCAGCAGCCGCGGUAAAACGUAGGUCACAAGCGUUGUCCGGAAUUACUGGGUGUAAAGGGAGCGCAGGCGGGAAGGCAAGUUGGAAGUGAAAUCUAUGGGCUCAACCCAUAAACUGCUUUCAAAACUGUUUUUCUUGAGUAGUGCAGAGGUAGGUGGAAUUCCCGGUGUAGCGGUGGAAUGCGUAGAUAUCGGGAGGAACACCAAUGGCGAAGGCGGCCUACUGGGCACCAACUGACGCUGAGGCUCGAAAGUGUGGGUAGCAAACAGGAUUAGAUACCCUGGUAGUCCACACCGUAAACGAUGAUUACUAGGUGUUGGAGGAUUGACCCCUUCAGUGCCGCAGUUAACACAAUAAGUAAUCCACCUGGGGAGUACGACCGCAAGGUUGAAACUCAAAGGAAUUGACGGGGGCCCGCACAAGCAGUGGAGUAUGUGGUUUAAUUCGACGCAACGCGAAGAACCUUACCAAGUCUUGACAUCCCUUGACGAACAUAGAAAUAUGUUUUCUCUUCGGAGCAAGGAGACAGGUGGUGCAUGGUUGUCGUCAGCUCGUGUCGUGAGAUGUUGGGUUAAGUCCCGCAACGAGCGCAACCCUUAUGGUCAGUUACUACGCAAGAGGACUCUGGCCAGACUGCCGUUGACAAAACGGAGGAAGGUGGGGAUGACGUCAAAUCAUCAUGCCCUUUAUGACUUGGGCUACACACGUACUACAAUGGCGUUAAACAAAGAGAAGCAAGACCGCGAGGUGGAGCAAAACUCAGAAACAACGUCCCAGUUCGGACUGCAGGCUGCAACUCGCCUGCACGAAGUCGGAAUUGCUAGUAAUCGCAGAUCAGCACGCUGCGGUGAAUACGUUCCCGGGCCUUGUACGCACCGCCC
rnacentral:rRNA from 1 species